CUUCCGGUCGGCGCCGCCUGCGGAGGGCUCCGCGGCAGGCGGAGACGCGGGAGGCCAGCUAUGGCCGCGGAGGGGGCGAGCUGGGGUCUGGAUCUUGGAGGCUGACGGAAGGCGGUGACUGAGGAGAGGCGCCUCUGGUCGAGCUCUUGCCGUGUGUUCCGCACCUGCCUUUCCUGCCGCCGCCUCCCAUUAAGAGACAGGGCUUCGCCAUGUUGGUCAAGCUGGUCUUGAACUCCAGACUUCAGAUGAUCCACCUGCCUUGGACACCCAAAGUGUUGGGAUUACAGGAGUGAGCCCCCAUGCCCGGCCGUAAUUGUUAAAUUUUAAAGUGGCUAGCAUUCUGGGUCAUCACUGUGCAGUAGAAGUAUAAGCCAGCCACUUAUACUUGGUCAGCGAGAUAUUGCAUCUCAAGUCGGACUGGCUACAUUUCAAGGGCUAAACCAUCACAUGUUGCCAGUGGCUGCUGCAUUAGACUGUGCCAUGCUGGAUGGUGAGUCAGAAGAGAAACCAAGUGGAUUCCAUGUCAAGUGUUGAACAGGCUAAGAAGAAAAGUAAAUUGGGGAAAGAGCUUGGGGAAUGUGGGAUUUGCUGUUUGAAA